ACGCCCCAACAGGAAGGAGUCUCACGUGACCUCUGCUAUAAGGGCCCAGGCGGCGCCGCUUAGCUUGCUUAAAGGGGCCGCGUCGCCGGAGUGUCUUGCGGGAAGAGGUUUUGGACUGCUUGUCCAACAGACACUGAGGAGGAAAGCAUGUUUGACUUCUGCCCUGUUGAUUAAGGAAGGGAUGUGAGUGCUGCUGGAUGCUUCC
rnacentral:lncRNA from 1 species